rnacentral:rRNA from 1 species
UGGGGAAUUUUGGACAAUGGGGGAAACCCUUAUCCAGCCAUCCCGCGUGUGCGAUGAAGGCCUUCGGGUUGUAAAGCACUUUUGGCAGGAAAGAAACGUCAUGGGUUAAUACCCCGUGAAACUGACGGUACCUGCAGAAUAAGCACCGGUUAACUACGUGCCAGCAGCCGCGGUAAUACGUAGGGUGCAAGCGUUAAUCGGAAUUACUGGGCGUAAAGCGUGCGCAGGCGGUUCGGAAAGAAAGAUGUGAAAUCCCAGAGCUCAACUUUGGAACUGCAUUUUUAACUACCGGGCUAGAGUGUGUCAGAGGGAGGUGGAAUUCCGCGUGUAGCAGUGAAAUGCGUAGAUAUGCGGAGGAACACCGAUGGCGAAGGCAGCCUCCUGGGAUAACACUGACGCUCAUGCACGAAAGCGUGGGGAGCAAACAGG